GAUCCUGGCUCAGAACGACGCUGGCGGCAUGCCUAACACAUGCAAGUCGAACGAGACCUUCGGGUCUAGUGGCGCACGGGUGCGUAACGCGUGGGAACCUGCCUUUAGGUUCGGAAUAACAGUGAGAAAUUACUGCUAAUACCGCAUAAUGUCUACGGACCAAAGUGUGGGACCUUCGGGCCACAUGCUAUCGGAUGCGCCUACGUGGGAUUAGCUAGUUGGUGGGGUAAUGGCUCACCAAGGCGACGAUCCCUAGCUGGUUUGAGAGGAUGAUCAGCCACACUGGAACUGAGACACGGUCCAGACUCCUACGGGAGGCAGCAGUGGGGAAUUUUGGACAAUGGACGCAAGUCUGAUCCAGCCAUUCCGCGUGCAGGACGAAGGCCUUCGGGUUGUAAACUGCUUUUGUACAGAACGAAAAGGUCUCUAUUAAUACUAGGGGCUCAUGACGGUACUGUAAGAAUAAGCACCGGCUAACUACGUG
rnacentral:rRNA from 1 species